rnacentral:rRNA from 1 species
AACGAACGCUGGCGGCAUGCCUAACACAUGCAAGUCGAACGAUGCCUUCGGGCAUAGUGGCGCACGGGUGCGUAACGCGUGGGAAUCUGCCUUUCGGUUCGGAAUAACUCAGGGAAACUUGAGCUAAUACCGGAUAACGUCGCAAGACCAAAGAUUUAUCACCGAAAGAUGAGCCCGCGUAGGAUUAGCUAGUUGGUGAGGUAAAGGCUCACCAAGGCGACGAUCCUUAGCUGGUCUGAGAGGAUGAUCAGCCACACUGGGACUGAGACACGGCCCAGACUCCUACGGGAGGGAGCAGUAGGGAAUAUUGGACGAUGGGCGAAAGCCUGAUCCAGCAAUGCCGCGUGAGUGAUGAAGGCCUUAGGGUUGUAAAGCUCUUUUACCCGGGAAGAUAAUGACGGUACCGGGAGAAUAAGCCCCGGCUAACUCCGUG